rnacentral:rRNA from 1 species
UACGUAGGGGACAAGCGUUGUCCGGAAUUAUUGGGCGUAAAGCGCGUGUAGGCGGUCCGGUAAGUCGGCUGUGAAAGUCCAGGGCUCAACCCUGGAAAGCGGGUGGAUACUGCCGGGCUAGAAUCCGGAAGAGGCGAGUGGAAUUCCUGGUGUAGCGGUGGAAUGCGCAGAUAUCAGGAAGAACACCGGUGGCGAAGGCGGCUCUCUGGGCCUUAGCCUGACGCUGAGGAGCGAAAGCGUGGGUAGGCGAACAGGA